GAUGAACGCUGGCGGCGUGCCUAAUACAUGCAAGUCGAGCGAACAGACGAGGAGCUUGCUUCUCUGACGUUAGCGGCGGACGGGUGAGUAACACGUGGAUAACCUACCUAUAAGACUGGGAUAACUUCGGGAAACCGGAGCUAAUACCGGAUAAUAUUUUGAACCGCAUGGUUCAAUAGUGAAAGACGGUCUUGCUGUCACUUAUAGAUGGAUCCGCGCUGCAUUGGCUAGUUGGUAAGGUAACGGCUUACCAAGGCAACGAUGCAUAGCCGACCUGAGAGGGUGAUCGGCCACACUGGAACUGAGACACGGUCCAGACUCCUACGGGAGGCAGCAGUAGGGAAUCUUCCGCAAUGGGCGAAAGCCUGACGGAGCAACGCCGCGUGAGUGAUGAAGGUCUUCGGAUCGUAAAACUCUGUUAUUAGGGAAGAACAUAUGUGUAAGUAACUGUGCACAUCUUGACGGUACCUAAUCAGAAAGCCACGGCUAACUACGUG
rnacentral:rRNA from 1 species